AUAUAAAUAACUAUUGAAUGGUAAGACCUUGACGGAUCAGAAGCAGCCGAUCGCCGCGAGAGGGGAUACGUUAGGGGUUGGACGACGCUGACGCAACGAUGAGGGCAAAGUGGAAGAAGAAGCGGAUGAGGAGGCUGAAGAGGAAACGCAGAAAGAUGAGGCAGAGAUCCAAGUAGAUCCUCAACAACAAGAACAACCUAUCUUGCUCUUCAUUCUCAUUGGUGUCAUUGGGUCUUUGAUCCAUCUCCAACUGAUGGAGAAAGCAAGAAUAAUUAUUCCACUCGUUUCUUUUCCUGUUUCAUGACAAUGUUUUGGUUUCAGACUCUAAAAUUAUCUUAUCAUUCUCUAACUCCUGCAAUUAUCAAGCAACCUUUCUUCUGAAGCUCUAGUUCAUUUCUUCAA